GGAAGAAUACUGGAAAGACGUUGAUUUAUCAGAGGAGUUCUGGAUGCAGUGAUGUCAGGAGAAGUGUGGAUGAACAGUUCUCACCUUGCUGACUCACAUCAAGCUGUAUGCAACUACCUGACGUUGCUUCCUCUCCAUCCAUCCAGCCAAUUAAAGAACAGCAGCACAAUUCUCUGAUGUGUGGCCACUUGCUGACACACAGGCGGUGUCUGAAAAAGUCAUGUCCCAAGAGACUGGUAAUGUCAAGUAAUUGGUUCUGUUUAUUAAUAUGAUCUUAGAAACCUCCAGGGUGGAAUGUAACUGAAGGCAAAUAUGGACACAUGAACACAGAGAGAUUAAGGUAAGGGAGGGACCUGCCUCAUUUCCAAGCUUCUAACUGCAGUUAAGGUCAAAGUCUUCAGUCUUUCUUGGAGUGAAGAUCUAAGUAAAGAUCUAAGUGCAAAGUCAGACAAGACAUGAGUAGGGGCACAUUGAUCUCCUCUGCCUCCAGAAAAGGUGUCUCCAAGCAAGUCAUUCAUCUUUGAUCCAUUGAUCAUCAGUGGAAAGAAAGAGGUACUGUCAAGACUAAGUUCAUCCUGUCUCAUGCAGAUCAGGCAAUCCAUCCCUUAUAAUCACCAAUUUCUCUUCUGUUGACACUCAAGAUAGAAUAGACAGCUGUCUUAGGCAACACACACACAAGCCUUGAUGUCUAGUCAUCUAAAGUUAGUUGAGAAGACUCACACCAAAAGAAAGGUUGUUUACACUGCCCAGGGCCAGCACACAGGUGUUGGACUUGACAGUCAUCUUCUGCAAGUGCUGUGUCAAAGUGGUUGCGGGGAGACUGAUCUGCACUUGGUGUGAUGGGGAGGUGUCACUAAUGAGAGUAACAUGCCCAGGUUGAGCCCGUUCACCCACAAGAAAGCUUUCUACCUGCUGUCCAUCUGUCCUUGAGUACCUUGGACAUGGAUAUAGGCUUUAGCCGUGGAUGGAGUUGCUUGGAAGGUUAAAUAGACGGAAACCUCCUGAGAAAUCAUAGGGAAAAGACUGAAAGACUCAAUGCCUAUUUCUUCUCAGGUUUUGCUCAUCUGGCUUCACCUCAGGCCUACAACAUCCCUGAAAGUUCCUGCAGAUCCUAUGGAAAGGAAGUGACACCCACAGCAGAAGAAGAAAGAACUCAGGAACUCUUACUACUAUUUGGACAUACACAUGUUCAUGGGGUCACUUGGAAUGCACCCAAGUGUGUUCAAGGAGCUGACUGGACAGUCUCUACUCAGUCCUGGAAGGAAAAUGGAGCAGAUACCUCCAGAAACUCACGAAAGGCCAGAAGGAAGUUGGGAGCAGCUCCCAUGGGUUUGCUAAGGGCAAAUCAUGCCUCACCAUCCUCACUGCUUUCUGUGAGCAGGUGACUGGCACUGUGGGAAAAGGGAGGGGCACUGGCUGGGGUGUACCUUGACUUUAGCAAGACAUUUGACAUACCCUGAUGGGUGCACACACAUGCACAUAGAGUUGUGCACACUCACAGCAUGCACACAUACAAAGAUGUGUGCUGUUGGACAAUUGUUAUAGUACACUCUGAGGCAAAUUAAACACGUGCUUUUGCUUAGGUAUGAAAAAAAAACCCACCAAAUUAUCAAUGUAUUAGACAGUGACCUACCAUCAUAAGCAGUUCUACAGGCUGUCUGCAAAGAUACAUCACAAGCCAGUUCCUUCUGUACACUGGCACCAGCACCAACCCUGUGAGCGCUGGCAUGAGGCAGCUCUGCCUGGCAUUGUGUCUAUUCCCCAGCACCAGCUCUGCUCCCCAGAGGUGGCCACUGAACAUUCACAUUCCAGGAUUGCUGCAAGACACUGUUGCAGCUGUCCCUGAUCUCCUCUCCAAGGGAAACUGCACUCCCUUACAAGGAUCUUUUGAUUUCUGGCAUUCCUUGGUCACGAAUUACCACUACUGAGCAGUUCCAAUUGGAAUUUCCCUUUCUGUGCCCACACAAAUUCACACACAGGGACACAAACACAAACAUGAGCUUAGACACAUCCAAAGAGCAACUCAUACAUCUGUACUUAUACAGAGUUGUAUGCACAUGCGUUUCCAAAGGAGCCCAUGUCCGUACAUGCACAGGCACCUCCCGCACCAAGUGGGCACAGAUAUUCAAACACACUUGCUUACACAUUUAUAUGUUCCUGCACACAUGCUCCUGUACACAGAUGUACACACACAAAAGGAAAUAUCUACAGACACCUAUGUCCACACAAUUACCAAUAUGCAGACCAGUCACACACAGUCAUGCCACACAGUCAUGUUCUCCUGCAUGAAGGUACAUGUGUGUGCUAAAACACAUAUACUCUCACGGACACACCCAAACACACACACACACAGAACAAUUGUGCACAUCCAUGUUUGCAUGUGUAUUACCACAGUCACAUACAUGUACAUGUGAAUGCACACAUGACCACAGCCAGAGGAACACAUACCUGAGCACCAUCAUGCACACACACCACAGAGAACUAAGACUUACAACACCAGCUCUCAGCCGCUCUAGAUGAAUCUAGGCAAGUACUUCAGAGCCUAUAGUUAAGGCAACAAAUCAGUCACUGGCCAGCCCCAUCAGCUUUAGUGAGCUCCAGGGUUUGGCAGUGGUUCAGUCAGCUGCUUUCUCACUGUAAGACAGAGACAAACCAGAGCAGAGUCAAAGCUGUCAUGGCCUCUCUAGACACUGAACUUCUUCAUGUCCUAAGUAGGUGUGUGAUGGAUAAUACAAAAACUAGAGAACAUCCCCACUGCUGCAGCCCCACAAAGAAUUUCCGUGUUACAAAGAAGAUAAAAUUCUGCAGUAUUAGAGGUUCCUGCCUGACCUUGUUGAUCUCCUCAAGGGUGUGGAACCAGCCCCUGUCCUUGCACAGGGAGCGGUGCCACAGUGACAGCCUCAUGCGGCAGCAGAAGGGUGUGUGUCUGAGACAAGCCAGACUCCCCUGAGGCUACAGACACUGAGGCUGGGACAUCAAAAGGGUGGUAGUAGUGAACCUGUCUCUAGACUCACUUCAAGGUAAAUACCCUCUCUUCAAAAAGCAGAGAAAUGUGGGAAUCACAUUAAUUUACAGAGCAGCUAAAGAAAUGGUUUGGCUGUCCUGUGAAUGUACACACAUUCUUUUCCUUUUUUCCCCACAUUGUAAUUGAUGUGCUGCUCGUUUUCUUCUUGUGUUUUGCAUGUGGGUGCAUGCGGUGCAAUUGCCUGCAGCACGAGGGAGCUGCCUGCAGCCUCUUCAGUUAGCCUUGAGCUGGCUGAGUUUAUCUUGCAGCCCAGGCUCCUGUAUGCAAAACAGUUUCUGUACAUAAUAAUACAAGAGUAAUAAAGGUGUAUUUGGUUAACCUGGCAAUGCUUUGGUAGUGAAGGGGAUGCAGGGAUGCCUUCUGUGUGAAGAUGCCAGAAACUGCUCCCAAUGUCAGACAGAACCAGUGACAGCCAGCUCCUCUGCUGGCCAGAUCAGUAACACUGGUAGUGCUUUUGAUAACACAUGUAAGAAAGGGGUAAAACCCAGUGUGCAGCAGCCAGGAGAGAAGAGUGAGAAAAAGUGAAACAACAAUGCAGACAUCCAGGUUUGUGAAGAAGGAGGAACAGAAAGUGGUCCAGGCACUAGAGCAGAGACUCCCCUGCAGCCAUGGAGAAGACAAUGGUGACACAGUCUGACCCCUUGCAGUCCAUGGAUGACCACAAUGGAGUGGGUAUCCACACUGCAGCCCAUGGAGAACCUAAUGCCACAACUGGUGGAGAUACCUGGAAGGAAGUUGCAGCUCAUGGAGAACCGGACUUGGAGCAGGCUCCUGACAGAAACUCUGCUCCCUGGACAGGAACCCAGACAGCAGCAGGUUUUCUAGCAGGACCUGUGACCUCCCUGGGGACCACACUGGAACAACCUGUUUCUGAAGGACUGCAGCCUGUUUAAAGGAUCCAUGGGGGAGCAGCUCAUGAAGAACAGCAGCCCACUGGAAGGAUCUACAUUGGACGAGUGUGGAAAGGACUGUCUCCUGCAGGCGGCACCCACUCUGGAGCAGGGGAAAAGCAUGAGGAGGAAGGAGCAAUAGAAGUGAAGCAUUAUGAACUGACUGCAACUCCCACUCCCCAUCCCCCUGCACUAUUGGAAGGGAGGAAGUAGAGGAUUUAGGAGUGAAGUUGAGCCUGGAAAGAAGGGAGAGGCUGAAGGAAGUGGUUAUAUUUUUGGUUUAUUCUUGACAAUAAAUCUAAUUUAUUUCCUCAUGUUAAGCCUGUAUUAUCCAUGCCAGUAAUUGGUAAGUAAUCUUCUUGUACUUAUCUUGACCCAUGAGCUUUUCAUCAUAAUUUUCUCCCCCCAUCCUCCUGAUGGAGAGGGAGUGAGAGAGCAGCUUGGUGGGCACAUGGCAGCCAGUCAAGGUCAACCCACCACAAACAGAGCAAAGAGAGCAAGGAUAGAAUAACGGUUGUGUGAUGGCUGGAAGUACCAGAUAUGUCCUGUCCCCCUUGUCCCAUGCCCUAUGAGAGAAUGAUGGUGCAGAGAUCACUGAACUGUUCUGUUUCUUGUGUGCUGCAGAAGACAAGGAGGAGCUUUGGUGUGUGUGGCUGGAGGGCAGGAAUGCCUUCAUGCUUGGUUCUGUAUGGCAUGCAGCAAAGGGAAGCAGUCAUGUAAGGCUCCACAUAAUGGUUCCACAUGAGAUAAAAUAAAGGAAUGAUUUUCCUGGACAA